rnacentral:rRNA from 1 species
AGUCCCGCAACGAGCGCAACCCUUGUCCUUAGUUGCCAGCAUUAAGUUGGGCACUCUAAGGAGACUGCCGGUGACAAACCGGAGGAAGGUGGGGACGACGUCAAGUCAUCAUGGCCCUUACGGGUAGGGCUACACACGUGCUACAAUGGCCGGUACAAUGGGUUGCGAAUCCGCGAGGUGGAGCUAAUCCCAUAAAGCCGGUCUAACAGUCCGGAUCGGAGUCUGCAACUCGACUCCGUGAAGUCGGAAUCGCUAGUAAUCGUGAAUCAGAAUGUCACGGUGAAUACGUUCCCGGGCCUU